rnacentral:rRNA from 1 species
AGUAAUACAUCGGAACGUGUCUUCUUGUGGGGGAUAACUGCCCGAAAGGGCAGCUAAUACCGCAUGAGACCUGAGGGUGAAAGCGGGGGAUCGCAAGACCUCGCGCUGGAAGAGCGGCCGAUGUCCGAUUAGCUAGUUGGUGAGGUAAAGGCUCACCAAGGCGACGAUCGGUAGCUGGUCUGAGAGGACGACCAGCCACACUGGGACUGAGACACGGCCCAG